UACGUAGGCAGCGAGCGUUUGUUCGGAAUUACUGGGCGUAAAGAGUGUGUAGGCGGUGCUCUAAGUUCGGUGUGAAAUCUCCUGGCUCAACUGGGAGGGUGCGCCGGAAACUGGAGUGCUUGAGCGUGGGAGAGGAAAGCGGAAUUCCUGGUGUAGCGGUGAAAUGCGUAGAUAUCAGGAAGAACACCUAUGGCGAAGGCAGCUCUCUGGGGACGGUACUGACGCUGAGACGCGAAAGCGUGGGGAGCGAACAGG
rnacentral:rRNA from 1 species